AGUGAACGCUGGCGGCAGGCCUAAUACAUGCAAGUCGAACGGCAGCACAGCUUAAGCUUGCUUAAGUGGGUGGCGAGUGGCGGACGGGUGAGGAAUACAUGGGAAUCUGCCCAGUCGUGGGGGAUAACGUAUGGAAACGUACGCUAAUACCGCAUGCGCCCUUAGGGGGAAAGCCGGGGACCGAAAGGCCUGGCGCGAUUGGAUGAGCCCAUGUUCGAUUAGCUAGUUGGCGGGGUAAAGGCCCACCAAGGCGACGAUCGAUAGCUGGUCUGAGAGGAUGAUCAGCCACACUGGAACUGAGACACGGUCCAGACUCCUACGGGAGGCAGCAGUAGGGAAUAUUGGACAAUGGGCGCAAGCCUGAUCCAGCCAUGCCGCGUGAGUGAAGAAGGCCCUCGGGUUGUAAAGCUCUUUUGUCCGGAAAGAAAAGCAUUCGGUUAAUACCCGGGUGUUCUGACGGUACCGGAAGAAUAAGCACCGGCUAACUUCGUG
rnacentral:rRNA from 1 species